rnacentral:rRNA from 1 species
UACAGAGGUCCCAAGCGUUGUUCGGAAUCACUGGGCGUAAAGGGCGCGUAGGUGGCACGGGUAGUCGUCGGUGAAAGCUCAGGGCUCAACCCUGAGUCGGCCGGUGAUACUCCCGAGCUCGAGUGUGGUAGAGGCCAAUGGAAUUCCGGGUGUAGCGGUGGAAUGCGUAGAGAUCCGGAAGAACACCGGUGGCGAAGGCGGUUGGCUGGGCCACAACUGACACUGAUGCGCGACAGCGUGGGGAGCAAACAGG